UACGGGGGGGGCAAGCGUUGUUCGGAAUUACUGGGCGUAAAGGGCGCGUAGGCGGCCUGCUAAGUCAGACGUGAAAUCCCCCGGCUUAACCUGGGAACUGCGUCUGAUACUGGAAGGCUUGAGGAUGGGAGAGGGAUGUAGAAUUCCAGGUGUAGCGGUGAAAUGCGUAGAUAUCUGGAGGAAUACCGGUGGCGAAGGCGGCAUCCUGGACCAUUACUGACGCUGAGGCGCGAAAGCUAGGGGAGCAAACGGG
rnacentral:rRNA from 1 species